rnacentral:rRNA from 1 species
UGCAGUCGAACGAUGAAGCCGGAGCUUGCUCUGGUGGAUUAUGGCGAACGGGUGAGUAACACGUGAGUAACCUGCCCUUGACUCUGGAAUAAGCGUUGGAAACGACGUCUAAUACCGGAUACGAGCUUCCGCCGCAUGGUGAGGAGCUGGAAAGAAUUUCGGUCAAGGAUGGACUCGCGGCCUAUCAGGUAGUUGGUGAGGUAAUGGCUCACCAAGCCUACGACGGGUAGCCGGCCUGAGAGGGUGACCGGCCACACUGGAACUGAGACACGGUCCAGACUCCUACGGGAGGCAGCAGUGGGGAAUAUUGCACAAUGGGCGCAAGCCUGAUGCAGCAACGCCGCGUGAGGGACGACGGCCUUCGGGUUGUAAACCUCUUUUAGUAGGGAAGAAGCGAAAGUGACGGUACCUGCAGAAAAAGCACCGGCUAACUACGUGCCAGCAGCCGCGGUAAUACGUAGGGUGCAAGCGUUAUCCGGAAUUAUUGGGCGUAAAGAGCUCGUAGGCGGUUUGUCGCGUCUGCUGUGAAAACUGGGGGCUCAACCCCCAGCCUGCAGUGGGUACGGGCAGACUAGAGUGCGGUAGGGGAGAUUGGAAUUCCUGGUGUAGCGGUGGAAUGCGCAGAUAUCAGGAGGAACACCGAUGGCGAAGGCAGAUCUCUGGGCCGUAACUGACGCU